AUUGAACGCUGGCGGCAGGCCUAACACAUGCAAGUCGAGCGGAUGAAGAGAGCUUGCUCUCUGAUUUAGCGGCGGACGGGUGAGUAAUGCCUAGGAAUCUGCCUGGUAGUGGGGGAUAACGUUCCGAAAGGAACGCUAAUACCGCGUACGUCCUACGGGAGAAAGCAGGGGACCUUCGGGCCUUGCGCUAUCAGAUGAGCCUAGGUCGGAUUAGCUAGUUGGUGAGGUAAUGGCUCACCAAGGCGACGAUCCGUAACUGGUCUGAGGGGAUGAUCAGUCACAAGGGAACUGAGACACGGUCCAGACUCCUACGGGAGGCAGCAGUGGGGAAUAUUGGACAAUGGGCGAAAGCCUGAUCCAGCCAUGCCGCGUGUGUGAAGAAGGUCUUCGGAUUGUAAAGCACUUUAAGUUGGGAGGAGGCUCUUAAGGUUAAUACCCUUGAUGAGUGGACGUUACUCGCAGAAUAAGCACCGGCUAACUCUGUGCCAGCAGCCGCCGUAAGAC
rnacentral:rRNA from 1 species